rnacentral:rRNA from 1 species
UACGAGGGGGGCGAGCGUUGUUCGGAAUUAUUGGGCGUAAAGAGCUCGUAGGCGGUUCGUCGCGUCGGCUGUGAAAUCCCGAGGCUCAACCUCGGGUCUGCAGUCGAUACGGGCGGACUGGAGUUCGGCAGGGGAGACUGGAAUUCCUGGUGUAGCGGUGAAAUGCGCAGAUAUCAGGAGGAACACCGGUGGCGAAGGCGGGUCUCUGGGCCGAUACUGACGCUGAGGAGCGAAAGCGUGGGGAGCGAACAGG